UCCCGCUCCGCGAAAAGUCGCCGACUGUGGCGGCCUGCCCCCUUCACCAGUGAAGGAUCGGGCUAGCGGGGCGGGUUCUG
rnacentral:sRNA from 12 species